UGUCGCAGAGGCCGCGGCGUGCGCGGAGGGGAGCUCUUUCUCUCCGCAUUGUGCGGAGAGCAGGUGCUGUCUGCAUUACCAUACAGCUGAACGCACAAAGAGCCACUGAUUCAGCCUCGCACAAUAACAGACUGCCUUAAUGACAGCCACGCGAACGACACACACCAAACUCACUUUUUACCAAGCAGAGAGAGGCCUGAGGGGAAUUACCCAGGAGAGUGGGGCCGGACACCAGUGAAGGGAAUACGCUGCCUGGACCAGGAUUCCCGUUUCCAGUGAUCGCGGACAACACGGAGAUACCGGGGCUCCAGGACACUGCAGUCUCAGGGGGCGCCCCGCCGGGAUCGCGAGUCUAUCGGCGCUCACCCUCUCGGAGGUUCAGCCGCCAUCCUCCACCAGAGUCCCCAGGACCGAACAACCGAGGAGAGCCUAGGCGGCCAGCGUUGGAGACGUGAGUGUCCGGAGGCCGCGUCCUGCGCGCGAGGCUAGCGGUGACCGCGGGUGGGAGGCGCAGGCCGCCCAGCGUGCCUAGGGUCUUCCGGCCUGUGGCGGUGGGGCGGUGGGAGACGCGGCGUCAGCUCCAGCUCCAGGAGCAGAAGCGGUUCGUCGCAGCGAACAUUUUGCAGGAAUGUAAA